CUGUCCUCGUAAAACCUCCCUCGAACGUUCUCAUUCCGAAAGCUCGCCUUUUGGUAGAGGAAGCGAUCGAAAGCCUCCAUUUAGACCGCGGAGUGGAAAGGAAGUUUGCGGUGGGGGAGGUUUAAGGCUUUGUCUCGGGAUGGCGGGAGGUGGAGGUGGCGGCGACUCGAGAGAGCUCGACCAGACCCCGACGUGGGCUGUCGCGGCUGUUUGCGCGGUCAUCGUUUUGAUCUCCAUACUGCUGGAGAAGGGUCUUCAUCACUUCGGAGAGUGGCUUAAUGAGAAGCACAAAAAGGCUCUUUAUGAAGCUCUUGAGAAGGUUAAAGAUGAGUUGAUGAUUCUUGGCUUCAUUUCCCUACUACUGACUUUUGGACAGAGUUACAUUGCUAAAAUCUGCAUACCGGAUACAUUGUCAAAUACCAUGUUGCCAUGCCCAAUCAAAACAGAUACUGGGACAGCAGAGGCAGGUGGAGGACACCGUAGGAAACUGUUAACAAAUGCGCUUAUAUAUGGGAAUAUACAGCAUAGGAUACUAGCUGCAGGAUCAAUUGUUUCAUGUCCCUUAGGCAAGGGGCCACUUAUUUCAAUGAAUGGACUACAUCAGUUGCACAUCUUCAUAUUCUUUCUGGCAGUGUUUCACGUAGCAAGUGGUGCUCUCACAAUGACUCUUGGAAGAGCAAAGAUGCGUAGAUGGAAGGAGUGGGAAACUGAGACUUCAUCCAUUGAAUAUGAGUUCUCCAAUGAUCCCUCAAGAUUCAGAUUUGCACAUGAGACAUCAUUCGUGAGAAGACACACAAAUUUCUGGAACAGAAUCACAAUCCUGUUCUACUUUGUAAGCUUUUUAAAGCAAUUUUUCAGCUCUGUUUGUAAAGCAGAUUACUUGGCAUUGCGCCAUGGUUUUAUCAAUGCUCACCUGGCUCCAGGAAGUAAGUUUAAUUUUCAAAAAUAUAUAAAAAGAACAUUGGAGGAUGACUUUAAGGCAGUAGUGGGGAUCAGUCCCGUAUUAUGGGCUUCAGCUGUGAUGGUUUUGCUUCUUAAUGUUAAUGGAUGGGAGGAAUUGUUUUGGGCAUCAAUACUUCCUCUAGUUAUAAUUCUAGCAAUUGGGAUGAAGCUACAGGCAAUAAUAGCAAGGAUGGCCAUUGAAAUUCAAGAGAGACAUGUAGUGGUUCAAGGAAUUCCGCUGGUGCAACUCAGUGACCAACAUUUUUGGUUUAAAAAUCCACAGUUUGCUUUAUUUCUCAUCCAUUUUGCAUUAUUCCAGAAUGCAUUUCAGAUCACAUACUUCUUUUGGAUAUGGGUAAGCUUCUGUAUCCAGCUUAUUUGCCGUGACUAUCACAUUCUUUUCUAGCAUCCUAAGUCAUUCUUUUUUUCUUCUUUUGCAAGUAUGAGUUUGGAUUGAAGUCCUGUUUUCAUGAUAAUUUUGAUUUCAUCAUUGCAAGAGUUAGUGUUGGAGUUGGAGUCCAAUUCUUGUGUUCGUACAUUACACUUCCGCUUUAUGCACUUGUAUCUCAGAUGGGUUGACACAUGAAGAGGUCCAUCUUUGAUGAGCAGACUUCGAAGGCUCUCAAGAAGUGGCAUCAAGCUGUGAAGAAAAAACAUGAGAAAGGAACCUCACAUGCUUCCUCGGUCCAUGAAACAAGCCCCAGGGCAAGCUCGCCGGCAACUCCUCUGCAUCCUAUGCAGAGGUAUAGGACUGUUGGGCAUACAAGAGAAUUAUCCAACUCUUCAACAGGAAAUGCUUUGGAUCAUUACAAUUCGGAUACAGAAAUUGAGAUGUUAUCCUCAUCAAAAAACAACAACCAAGAGUCUAGACCAACCGAACGUCACCUACGCAUAGGAGAGCACCGAAACAACGAAGAUCAAUUCUCAUUCGAAAAGCUUUCUGCUCAGACUGGAGGACAACCACAAUCUUGACAUUUCUUGUCUCAUGUCGCUUGAAUCAAUUACCGUAACAUUUGUUAUUAUCGUUUUCAUAAAUUUUGACAUCGUGCUUCCUGGAAAGGGAUGUCUAUUAGUUUGGAGGGUCUUCCUUAGCUAGCAGGGAAUUAUGAUUUGUGUGCAGUAGUUCAAAUGUUGACAAUUUUUAUUGUUCACCAUUCAGCCAGCUGCUUGCUUGGAUUAGGAUCAAAACAUCUGUUUGGUUUUAGUACAUAUAUGUAUUGGAGAAUUAAUUGUAGAAAAAAGAACAUGGGAGAAGA